GUCAGGUGGUGCAGUAGCUCAGUGCAUCUGCCUGUUAACCAGAAUAUUGGUGGUUCAAGCCCACCCAGGGACA